rnacentral:rRNA from 1 species
UACAGAGGUCUCAAGCGUUGUUCGGAUUCAUUGGGCGUAAAGGGCGCGUAGGCGGCGCGGUAAGUCACCUGUGAAAUCUCCUGGCUCAACUGGGAGCUUGCAGGCGAAACUGCCGUGCUGGAGUGUGGGAGAGGUGCGUGGAAUUCCUGGUGUAGCGGUGAAAUGCGUAGAUAUCAGGAGGAACACCUGUGGCGAAAGCGGCGCACUGGACCACAACUGACGCUGAGGCGCGAAAGCUAGGGGAGCAAACAGG